rnacentral:rRNA from 1 species
UACGUAGGGGGCAAGCGUUGUCCGGAAUCAUUGGGCGUAAAGCGCGUGUAGGCGGCUCGGUAAGUCCGCUCUGAAAGUCCAGGGCUCAACCCUGGGAUGCGGGUGGAUACUGCCGGGCUCGAGUCCGGAAGAGGCGAGUGGAAUUCCCGGUGUAGCGGUGAAAUGCGUAGAUAUCUGGAGGAACACCGGUGGCGAAGGCGGCAUCCUGGACCGGCAUUGACGCUGAGGCGCGAAAGCCAGGGGAGCAAACGGG